GAUCAUGGCUCAGGACGAACGCUGGCGGCGUGCUUAACACAUGCAAGUCGAACGAAGAGCGAUGGAAGCUUGCUUCUAUCAAUCUUAGUGGCGAACGGGUGAGUAACGCGUAAUCAACCUGCCCUUCAGAGGGGGACAACAGUUGGAAACGACUGCUAAUACCGCAUACGAUCCAAUCCCGGCAUCGGGACUGGAUGAAAGGUGGCCUCUAUUUAUAAGCUAUCGCUGGAGGAGGGG
rnacentral:rRNA from 1 species